rnacentral:rRNA from 1 species
GUGGGGAAUCUUAGACAAUGGGGGAAACCCUGAUCUAGCCAUGCCACGUGAGCGAUGAAGGCCUUAGGGUUGUAAAGCUCUUUCAGCUGGGAAGAUAAUGACGGUACCAGCAGAAGAAGCCCCGGCUAACUCCGUGCCAGCAGCCGCGGUAAUACGGAGGGGGCUAGCGUUGUUCGGAAUUACUGGGCGUAAAGCGCGCGUAGGCGGACCAGAAAGUUGGAGGUGAAAUCCCAGGGCUCAACCUUGGAACUGCCUUCAAAACUCCUGGUCUGGAGUUCGAGAGAGGUGAGUGGAAUUCCGAGUGUAGAGGUGAAAUUCGUAGAUAUUCGGAGGAACACCAGUGGCGAAGGCGGCUCACUGGCUCGAUACUGACGCUGAGGUGCGAAAGCGUGGGGAGCAAACAGGAUUAGAAACCCCAGUAGUCC